rnacentral:rRNA from 1 species
AACGAACGCUGGCGGCAGGCUUAACACAUGCAAGUCGAACGCACCGCAAGGGGAGUGGCAGACGGGUGAGUAACGCGUGGGAACGUGCCCUUCGCUUCGGGAUAGCCCCGGGAAACUGGGAGUAAUACCGGAUACGCCGUAUUGGGAAAGAUUUAUCGGCGAAGGAUCGGCCCGCGUUGGAUUAGCAAGUUGGAGGUGUAAUGGACCCCCAAGGCUACGAUCCAUAGCUGGUCUGAGAGGAUGAUCAGCCACACUGGGACUGAGACACGGCCCAGACUCCUACGGGAGGCAGCAGUGGGGAAUCUUGGACAAUGGGCGCAAGCCUGAUCCAGCCAUGCCGCGUGAGUGAAGAAGGCCUUAGGGUUGUAAAACUCUUUCGCCGGAGAAGAUAAUGACGGUAUCCGGAGAAGAAGCCCCGGCUAACUUCGUGCCAGCAGCCGCAGUAAAAC